rnacentral:rRNA from 1 species
GACAGAGGGGGCAAGCGUUGCUCGGAAUCACUGGGCGUAAAGGGCGCGUAGGCGGGUCCGCAAGUCGAUCGUGAAAUCCUUCGGCUCAACUGAAGGGGGUCGGUCGAUACUGCGGGUCUUGAGGGAUGCAGAGGAGACUGGAAUUCCCGGUGUAGAGGUGAAAUUCGUAGAUAUUCGGAGGAACACCAGUGGCGAAGGCGGCUCACUGGUCCGGUACUGACGCUGAGGUGCGAAAGCGUGGGGAGCAAACGGG